rnacentral:misc_RNA from 1 species
AAGUCGUAACAAGGUCUCCGUUGGUGAACCAGCGGAGGGAUCAUUACUGAGUUAUUGAAACUCCAAACCCUUUGUGAACCUUACUGUCGUUGCCUCGGCGUGAGCUACGGCUACCCUGUAGUUACCCUAUAGCUACCCUGCAGCUACCCUAUAGUUGACCAGUAGCUACCCUGUAGUUACCCUAUAGCUACCCUGCAGCUACCCUAUAGUUGACAUGUAGCUACCCUGUAGCCGGCUUAUGGCCCGCCGAAGGACCGCUAAACUCUUGUUUUUUUACCACUGUUUCUCUGAAUUGUAAACUUAAAUAAGUUAAAACUUUCAACAACGGAUCUCUUGGUUCUG